rnacentral:rRNA from 1 species
UACGUAGGGGGCAAGCGUUGUCCGGAUUUAUUGGGCGUAAAGAGCUCGUAGGCGGUUUGGUAAGUCUGGUGUGAAAUCUCCACGCUCAACGUGGAGGGGCCACCCGAUACUGCCAUGACUGGAGUCCGGUAGAGGAGUGUGGAAUUCCCGGUGUAGCGGUGAAAUGCGCAGAUAAUCGGGAGGAACAGCCGGUGGCGAAGGC